UGUUGGGACUUGCCCUGCGGAGAAUUAAGCUCCAAGUUUCCUUGCGUGGUGGCAAAGUUUGCAACAAUCUUGUGAAUGCUACCCGUUUAGUUAUCUUGCCAGUACGAGGAACUGAUGUAAACUUUGAUUCUCUCAUAAAAACGAAUACGCCAUCUUCCCCUGGUGGAGACUGAAAACAGAGAGGAAGCAAAGUUGCUUCAGAAAGUAGAAGAAUACUGUGCUUGCCAAAGAGGGAAGGCAAAAGCAAAAGAGGAGCCUGCUGGUGGAAGCACAAAGAAAAUGAAAACAAUUGUCAACCAAACCUGAAGAACACAGACAUGUGUUGGAAAAAUGCCUUCUAAAAUAUAUGAAAAUGAAUCAGACAGAAGUGACUCAUCUUCUGCAGAAGAAAUUGAGGAAGAUAUUUAAAUGAAUGAAAGGAAUCAUGGAAUGGUUGGUGUGGAAAAAUUGAAAACCCAGACGACUGCAGUUUUAGAAGAUUUAGAACCACCACUGAGCAAGAGGUUGUGGAAGAUGUUGUAAAAGUAGAAGAGUCUUUUAAAGCUCCCGGGGCAAAGGUGAAACUACAGUCGAUCAAAUUCACAAAGAUGAGAAACCAUUCUGCUCUAUAGAAUUCCAUUUUUGUUCAGGAUAUUUGUUUUAUGUAAAUUGUGUGCUUACUGGUGUGAAGGUUGAAUACCUUCAUUAAAACAUUGUUUAUCAUACUGAAUGGUAAAAGGGGCUCCCUCCAGAAUGAUUUGUACGAAUGGUAUUACAAAGAAGUAUAUUAGCUUAUGCUUUA